GGAUCUGAGUAGCGUUGCAGAAGUCGUGGGCAGCUUUUUUCGUUGCGGGGUGCUCUUUUCGUCGCAACAAUAGACUGGAUUUUUUUACAAGUACUGCUCCAAGAGGGCAUAUAUGUAAAUGGCAAAUAGAGGCCUUAGGAGAACACUUGACAUUAUAUAAAGCAGGCAGCACAGCAUCUCUAGGGCACCCAAGGGGCAGCGGGGGGAUCAAAGUUGGAAGCAAGUAGGUCCAUGAGUAGGGGCCUCGGCGAGCCCCAACCCAUGGACCAGUCUGGAUUGUGGUUUUGGUGUCCCCAUUGCCGCUUCCGUGUUCUUGAGGCGUGUGGUGUCGCGGCAACUGCACUCCAAUAUAAUAAGAAAUAAUGGUACGUUAAUUGUUACAACUAGUAAAUAAAAAACUAUUAAAGAAAUAUCCAGCCACCACUAACUUGCUAUGCUGAGUUCUGCCCCACCGCGGCCAGUUAAUCCCCGCUAUAAUGCUCUGCUUCGGUUGUGAUUCUGGUUGUUGAGAAACCUUGUGCUUAUGAUCUGUAUUUCAGCGCCCAAUGUGUCACAUGCAGCUUCGGUGCAAUUACAAUUAAGCUUGUAAUUCCUCUUCAUUUAUUACUUGGGCAGAAAUGUGCAGUCUUUUGUUAAUUAGUUUGUAUGCAUGAUCACCGUUUCUAAAUAGAAACAAGCUGUUUAAGGUUUCCUUGUUUCGGCGGUGUCAUUUUGCAUAAUAAUAUCCAUGUGCAUAUAUGUAAUUGAUCAGCUCCUACGUUAACGAUGCGUGUGCUGCAUUGCUGCGGCAUGAAAAGCAUGUUUUUUUUUUUUUUCUGUAAGCCGCAUUGGCCGCGCGCUCUUGGCCUUCGUGUAUAUAUAUAUAUUAUCCAGGCUAAUAGACGCGGUCAGCUGCUUGACAAUGCAUGACAGAGCGAUAAACCUAACGUGCAUGCCCAGGCAGAGAAGUUACAACGCAAACGCUCACUUCCAAAACUCUUUUUGAUUACUGCAGGGCCACGAUUUUGUAGCGAUGCCUUCCGCUCGAUCAUAUGCCCCUCUUAUCAUCCACCGCUCAUGGCCGGCUAGGCCGGUAUUUGGUAGCGAUGCCUUUAAUGUAAUAAUGUCUUUACGCGCUUAUCGUGCUUUUUCAGUGGACGGAGCGACGGUCCGCUCGCAUUAUCAACGGGAUCAGCCGGCCGUGAGCGGUGGAUGAUAAGAAUAGAGUAGAAUAAGUCAUAAUGCCUUGAUACAAAAUCGCGGCCCUGAUCGCUUUGAUAACGCGGGCGGGGCGUCGCUCUGACCCCUGACAAAGCGCGAAAAGUGCAAAAAGGAAUAUCAUCGGAGACGGAAUCGCUACAAAAUCGCGGCCCGCGCGCAUGUGCAUCUGUGUCUGUGUUGUGCGAGUUUGCGUGCGCUGAAAAUUUUUUUAUUGCGCUCAGAGAAAUCUGAUCAUGCCACUCUACAUGACGCGGUGGGCAAAAUGAAUGAACGCCAACAAUCGUGUUCAUUGACCACGUAUACAAAACACACAAACGAUCGAUGUCGAAUUCAUAAUUACUCUCAUGAGUUGGGAUGUCAUUUUAAGAAUGCUUAAGCCUGAUGCAGUUCUCAACAUUUCUUAUCUGUACAACUGUACAACUUUGUACCUUCCACCCAUGGAGGAAGGAAACAACUUGAAAAAAAAAAGGUUUUUUUUAUCUUCCUCCAUGCUUCCACCCACUACUGUUGUACGGCAUUGCUUUAGUAGUAUUUUUCUUUUCUGUUUUGGUUUGGUUUGGGUGAUGCAGUGGUGGCAGUCGAAGUCGCAUGCCAAUCCGCAUCCAUAGAAUCCACGGCCAUAGCCACAGCUGUCAUCUAAGCGAGAACGACUGCGUUGCACUGUGUUAAGCUCGAGAUGCUUGUAUUCGUUGAAUAUGAAGUGGACAUGACCACUGCGGUUGUCAGGCACACCGCAGUGCAAAACUUUAACCCAGAGAAUGUCGUGGAUUUCGAUCCAAUUGUCCUCUACGACGUGUGGUGGAACGGCGAUGCGACAGAGUGCUGCACAUGGCUGAAACUGAAGAAAUGGUGCUGCACACGUCGAAAAGGCUCAGAAAUCUGUCCUUAGAAAAGGGCAAGAGCACCAAAGGAAUUAUAACUGCCAUGGCCUCUAUGGCACCUUUGUCACAGGAGCAUGCUGACAUGGACAUAUUCACUGGAGAGGCCAUCGAUGUUGUCAUCGGAUCCUCAAGAGAUGACGGAAAGGUGUAUGCUGGAUGCGGGCAAUGAAUAGAAAAGGCUGCUUGGGGGACAUUGUUGCGGUCUACGUCUGACUAUGUUCUGCCGUAUGGCGUCCACAACGUAUUGGAUGCCAGAUGAGCUUAAGAACAGAAGCGUGACCGAGACUUUGUCCAACAAGUCGCGAUCCAAGGGAAGGACUGAGGCCAGACCAGCCGUGACACCACAAAAGUUGUCAUCCUUGAAAAGCCUCCUCCGGAUCUUCAUGGGCAACCGUGUCAUGCCGGAAGACGAGAAAAAAAAAGAUUGAAAGAAGUGCGCAGGCAAUUGGUGCAGAAACUCGCUGACGCGCAAAGAAGGUAGUGCUACUGGUACUGAUUGCUACGGGGCUUGUCCCAAAAGUUUGUGCACUGAGCCAGCAAAAACGCGGCAGAGAAUGUAGUGACAUGAACUGCUCAAACUUCUGGGACAGACUUUGUAUAUUUACCUUACCAGCUUAGCACUUCUACCUUUCUUUGUGGAGUUAGUGCUUACCGUAUUUACUAAAAAAUAGGUCCAACAUGAGUAUAGGUCGACCACUAUAUAUUGAAUUAGUUGAGAAAUUUAGAAAAUUUUAGUUUGAAUUAAGUCAGCCAAUAUCUUUCUUUAGCAGUAGUAGUGUAAACUUAAAUUAUUUCUCUUAAGGGUCUUGGGUGGUGGGUGGGUGCCUCAGUUUAGAGCUCCAUUGGUCUCUGCAGCUUGCUGGGCUUGAUCGAGAAGAGCUCUCUGGCUCUCUAGAUUUUCGCUAGCAAGCCAAACGUCCCGCUGCCUGUUGCUUGGAAUUUGCGCCGUUAGGGGGUGAAUUUAGAAUUUGGAAGUCGUUGCUUACAUAUCCACAUUACAGGACGAGACUUGGCCCACCAAGGGAAGUGGCAGGGUGUAUGCAUCUUGUGAAGUAUUUGGAUGUAUGGAUAUGCGUGGAGGACCACACAAAUAGCGAAGGAACGAAAAAGAUUAGGUCUAUCUUAAAGAGACGGGAAGAGUGUGGAUCAGAGAGCAAAUGGCGAUAGCCGAUAUUCUUGUUAACAUUAAGAGGGGAAAUGGAACUGGGCAGGCCAUGUAAUGCGUAGGAUGGAUAACCGGUGGAUCAUUGGUUACAAAAUGGAUACCAAGAAAGGGAAGCGCAGUCGAGGAUGGCAGAAAACUAGGUGGGGGGAUGAAGUUAGGAAAUUUGCAGGCGCAAGUUGGAAUCUGCUAGCGCAGGACAGGGGUAAUGGAGAUCGCAGGGAGAGGCCUUCGUCCUGCAGUGGACAUAAGUAUAGGUUGAUGAUGAUGUGUGUUUGUAAGAAGAGCCAGUACCUGGCCUGUUUCCCUGUACGGUCUGGGUGUAGGUGGCUGUAUUUUUGUCUCUUUGGUCUCCGAGGAUGUCGUGCUGGUGGAUCAGGGGUAUUCCAGUAAAACACGUUGUGGGGCUAGUUGGUGCAUAGCUUUCAAAAGAUGAAGCGCCAACAGUGACAGCACAUUAGGAAGGAACAAAGACAGGACAGGCGCUACUUGCAACUGUUUAUUGUGGUCAAAGGUGGUUGAAUAUAUAGCCAUGGGGAGAGGGGGGGACGAAAAAGGCGGAACACUGAUUGUAUGAAUGCGCACGCGUGAGAACACUGAAGAUGUGCAUGAAGGAAAUGGCGGAUCUAAAACUUAUCUAAAAACACACUUUCAUUUGUGUAUAUAUUCAGAGACGGGGAGCUGACACAUGUUUCCCCUCUCUUCCUAAUCUGGUUGGCC